rnacentral:rRNA from 1 species
AACGAACGCUGGCGGCAGGCUUAACACAUGCAAGUCGAGCGCAUCCUUCGGGGUGAGCGGCAGACGGGUGAGUAACGCGUGGGAACGUACCCUUUCCUACGGAAUAGCUCCGGGAAACUGGAAUUAAUACUGUAUACGCCCUUAGGGGGAAAGAUUUAUCGGGGAAGGAUCGGCCCGCGUUGGAUUAGCUAGUUGGUGGGGUAAAGGCCUACCAAGGCGACGAUCCAUAGCUGGUCUGAGAGGAUGAUCAGCCACAUUGGGACUGAGACACGGCCCAAACUCCUACGGGAGGCAGCAGUGGGGAAUAUUGGACAAUGGGCGCAAGCCUGAUCCAGCCAUGCCGCGUGAGUGAUGAAGGCCUUAGGGUUGUAAAGCUCUUUCAGUAGGGAAGAUAAUGACGGUACCUACAGAAGAAGCCCCGGCUAACUUCGUGCCAGCCGCCGCAGUAA